GAUGAACGCUGGCGGCGUGCCUAAUACAUGCAAGUCGAGCGAACAGACGAGGAGCUUGCUCCUCUGACGUUAGCGGCGGACGGGUGAGUAACACGUGGAUAACCUACCUAUAAGACUGGGAUAAAUUCGGGAAACCGGAGCUAAUACAGGAUAAUAUAUUGAACCGCAUGGUUCAAUAGUGAAAGACGGUUUUGCUGUCACUUAUACAUGGAUCCGCGCCGCAUUAGCUAGUUGGUAAGGUAACGGCUUACCAAGGCAACGAUGCGUAGCCGACCUGAGAGGGUGAUCAGCCACACUGGAACUGAGACACGGUCCAGACUCCUACGGGAGGCAGCAGUAGGGAAUCUUCCGCAAUGGGCGAAAGCCUGACGGAGCAACGCCGCGUGAGUGAUGAAGGUCUUCGGAUCGUAAAGCUCUGUUAUUAGGGAAGAACAAAUGUGUAAGUAACUAUGCACGUCUUGACGGUACCUAAUCAGAAAGCCACGGCUAACUACGUG
rnacentral:rRNA from 1 species